rnacentral:rRNA from 1 species
AACGAACGCUGGCGGCAGGCUUAACACAUGCAAGUCGAACGCCCCGCAAGGGAGGUGGCAGACGGGUGAGUAACGCGUGGGAAGUCUACCUAGUUCUACGGAACAACAGAGGGAAACUUCUGCUAAUACCGUAUACGCCCUAAGGGGGAAAGGAUUUAUCGGAAUUAGAUGAGCCCGCGUAAGAUUAGCUAGUUGGUGGGGGUAAGUGGCCUACCAAGGCGACGAUCUUUAGCUGGUCUGAGAGGANGAUCAGCCA